CUUGAAAUUAUUUUCCAAGUUCAAAGAAAUAUACUUUGUAGACUCUGGAAGUAUGUAGAAGUGCAAGGUGCCUACUUUGAACAUUUAUUAUAGUUUUUUUUUGUUUUUUUUUUGAUAAGGUAUAAGCUAACCAAAUAAAUUCUUUCACAUAUUUAUUUUGUAAUAAUGUGUCUCUUUAUGUCGUUUUCACUUUCCUUUGCAUCUACAACGAACUAAAAAUCUACUAAAUCAUAAAUUUUAUCAAGUUAAGAAAAGAAUACCUUUUUGUUAAAAAAUCGAUUGAAAAAUUCAUCUUUAGAUUGAACAGGUUUUGUUUCUGUAAAAGUCAGAUUGUUCACCAUAGAUCAUGAUUUUUCAGUCAACUGAAUUCCGAGAUUUAUUAUACGACUGUCCUUGGAUGUAUUGGAAUGAAAAAAAUAGAAAAGUUCUAUUGCUAAUGAUAACAAAUACGAAGAACCCAUGGAAUGUCUCAUUCUACAAGUUGUUUUUCAUUAACCACCAGGCAAUAACAAAAGCAGCCAAACUAAUAUACAGUUUCUCAGCUGUCGUUUCCAAGUUUAAGUGAAGACGAAACACAACAAAUAUUUUUCUUCAAGCUGUAGAAGUACCACAAACAAUGAGAAAAAAUCUUCUAGCACAUGGUUGAUCGAUCCAUAUUUUUGGAUUUAAUACUUGUAAAUGAAUCUGUAAAUCUAUAUUGAAAUAAAUCACUCGCAUUGAAAA